rnacentral:rRNA from 1 species
CCACGGGCUUCAGCAGUGGGGAAUAUUGGACAAUGGGCGAAAGCCUGAUCCAGCCAUGCCGCGUGUGUGAAGAAGGCCUUCGGGUUGUAAAGCACUUUCAGUGGGGAAGAAAGCCUUGGGGCUAAUACCCUCGAGGAAGGACAUCACCCACAGAAGAAGCACCGGCUAACUCCGUGCCAGCAGCCGCGGUAAUACGGAGGGUGCGAGCGUUAAUCGGAAUUACUGGGCGUAAAGCGCGCGUAGGCGGUCUGAUAAGCCGGUUGUGAAAGCCCCGGGCUCAACCUGGGAACGGCAUCCGGAACUGUCAGGCUAGAGUGCAGGAGAGGAAGGUAGAAUUCCCGGUGUAGCGGUGAAAUGCGUAGAGAUCGGGAGGAAUACCAGUGGCGAAGGCGGCCUUCUGGACUGACACUGACGCUGAGGUGCGAAAGCGUGGGUAGCAAACAGGAUUAGAUACCCCAGUAGUC